rnacentral:rRNA from 1 species
UCCGAGUGCCGGCCUAACGGCCGGCUUUUAAUGAGUUUGAAUAACUCGUCGAAUAAGUGCUGGGCAAAUCCUGUGCCAGCCGCCGCGGUAACACAGGUAGCACUAGUGGUAUCCACGAAUAUUGAGUUUAAAGCGUCCGUAGCCGGCCAGGCAAGUUUUCUGUGAAAUCUCUCGGCUUAACCGAGAGGCGUGCAGGAAAUACUACCAGGCUUGAGAGUGGGGGAGGUCAAGGGUACUUUAGGGGGAGGAGUAAAAUCCUGUAAUCCUUAAAGGACCAUCGGUGGCGAAGCACUUUUUUCUUUUUUAAUUUUAAAAAGAAAAACUUGAAGCUAAGGCGCUUGACCAAAACACGUCUGACGGUGAGGGACGAAGGCUAGGGGAGCGAAUCGGAUUAGAUACCCGAGUAGUCCUAGCAGUAAAUGAUGCAGACUUGGCGUUGCAGUUACUUAGAGUUGCUGCAGUGCCGUAGGGAAACUGUUUAGUCUGCCACUUGGGGAGUACGAUCGCAAGAUUGAAACUUAAAGGAAUUGGCGGGGGAGCACCACAGGGGGUGGAUGCUGCGGUUCAAUUGGACUCAACGCCGGGAAGCUCACCUGGAAAGACGGCAGUAUGAAGCUCAGACUAAAGAUCUUAGCUAACAAGCCGAGAAGUGUUGCAUGGCCAGCGCCAGUUCGUGCCGUGAGGUGUCAGGUUAAGUCCUGCAACGAACGAGAUCCCUAUCCCCAGUUGCAACCUUGACAGUGAUGUCGAGGGCACUCUGUGGAGACUGCCUGCGUUAAGCGGGAGGAAGGAAGGGGCGACGCUAGGUCUGUAUGGCCUGAAUUUCCAGGGCCACACGUGGCAUACAAUGGUGGAGACAAUGGGUUCCGACGCCGAAAGGCGAAGGCAAUCCCCUAAACUCCACCUCAGUUCAGAUUGCGGGCUGAAACUCGUCCGCAUGAAGUUGGAAUCCCUAGUAAUCGCGUGUCAUCAUCGCGCGGUGAAUAUGUCCCCG